AGGACGAACGCUGGCGGCGUGCUUAACACAUGCAAGUCGAGCGGAAAGGCCCUUCGGGGUACUCGAGCGGCGAACGGGUGAGUAACACGUGAGUAACCUGCCCCUAGCUCUGGGAUAGCUCCGGGAAACCGGGAUUAAUACCAGAUACGACCACUUUAGACAUCUGUCGUGGUGGAAAGGAUUCCGGCUAGGGAUGGGCUCGCGGCCUAUCAGCUUGUUGGUGGGGUAACGGCCUACCAAGGCGACGACGGGUAGCCGGCCUGAGAGGGCGACCGGCCACACUGGGACUGAGACACGGCCCAGACUCCUACGGGAGGCAGCAGUGGGGAAUAUUGCGCAAUGGGCGAAAGCCUGACGCAGCGACGCCGCGUGGGGGAUGAAGGCCUUCGGGUUGUAAACCCUUUCUAGCAGGGACGAAGCGAAAGUGACGGUACCUGCAGAAGAAGCGCCGGCUAACUACGCGCCAGCAGCCGC
rnacentral:rRNA from 1 species